CACUUUUGGUUCUGUUGGUGUUUUCCACCAAUAGGGCCCAUGCACUUGAUCUCUGCCUUGUCUCUAUGAGCAGGACACAUUUUGAGAAACGUGAAGGCGUUUUACAACUCCCAGAUUCCAUCAAGUGAAGAACCGGGAUCUACAAGCACAAACACAAUGGAGAUCAGACACUUAGUUUCCCAAAGGAAAUUUUAAAGAACCUCUGUGUCCGAGUUGGUACCUUGUACGCUCCAGCAAACUUCGUGGUGAUAGAGACUGGUACUGAGGAGAGGGCACCCAUCAUCUUAGGGAGGCCAUUCCUAAACACUAGAGCUGUCAUCUACGCUAAUGCUGCCAAGAUCAGUUUCUACAUCAAGGGGGAGAAGGAGAUUUUCCUUCAAGAACAAGACUACACAAACUUCAGAGCAAUCCCGACAUGAACCAUGGAAGAGGACCAACAGGAGGAAAAGGAACAAGCAAAUGUGGACCGAGUCAGCUAAGAUGGUCACUGCAGCUCAAGGAGGUCAAGAUCGUCGACUCAAGUCACCUUUCUUGAUUAAGAAGAACGACCCUGGUGUUCCAAGAAUCGAAUGCACAAACAAUGGAUACUCUUUUUAGAAGACACUCUACGACACCGGAUCUGACGACAACAUAAUGGCCGCAGUCACUUAUCAGCUCCUGCAUAGAACCAUGCCCCUACAACCAAGAUACAUUCAGCUUCAAACAACUUUCAGGUCAUUGACAUGGGAGAAGACAAGUAUGAUCCAUCCACCAUCCUUGGAAGACCGUUCCUAAACACUAUCAAAGCCAUUAUCUAUAUUGGAACCGGAGAAGUCCACAUGCACUUCCCCUCUGAGAAAGGUACGCCACUACUUUAAUGAUUAUAUAGUUGAAGAUUCUAAGCAGGUCAGGACAAGAAGAAGACAACGCAACCGCAACCAGAGGAGGCAAAUCAUCAAGGACGGACGGGUAGACUACGAAGGAGAAAUGAUAAGGACUGAAGACAUACAACUUGAACAGAACUGCCCUGAGGAGACCGUAACACCGAGUCAGGUAUGAAAAAUGAAGAUAACUAUAAAUGAAGAGGAGGCGCUGCCGGAAGUACCGACUACGCCACCCAACGAACCUCAGGAUGAUUAAGAAAAUGGAGAGUCCCGUUCGGAGGACUUAAAAACACCGAACGCCUUGCCAAGAGGUAAACUUGGUAGCUAUCCUUUCCCUUUUAAUUAUUUCAAAUAGUUUACUUAGUUAAUCAUGUUCGUAUUAUCUUAGAAAGAAAAUAAAAAUGUGAAAAAAAACUGUAAGCCCCAUGUGAGUAGACGAGUGACAUACAACCCAUAAGUACAUUCACUGUGGUGGCAUAAAAAUAAAAUAAAUAUUUUUGCUUUAUAAAAACAAAAAUAUAAAAACAGGGAGUAAUAUUUAUUAAGGAGUCUCAACAUGAUAAAGGCUAGAUAUUUAUGCUAACACUUAAUCAGUUCCACAAGCUUUGUUGUCUAUUUGAGCUCCACAGAAUUUAAGAAUCAAGAAGACUAGCAGACGGAGGACAUUCUAAUCGCUGUCAAAAUACUGCUGACUUUCAAACACACCUCUGCCACCUGCUAGCUACAUCAAGAGAAAUUACGUCAAAAUUCAGCUUGGGGGAGAGCACCCCCAUUUAUCUCGAUAAGUAUUUCUAUCUAUCUAUCUUUAUACUUAUAUUAUAUUAGAAUAUUAAAACACAUAAACUAUGGAAAACCAAAUAAAGAUUUUAUGCUUAUAUAUAUGUCUUUUUCUUAGUGUGUUUAAUAAAUAAAUAAAGUAGCUAUGCCAAUCUGAAUCUUAAUAAUAAAACUUAAGCAUGGAUAUGAUGAAUAGUUGCUCUGCCUAAUUUGCAAAUUUGAAGUUCUCUCUCAAGUUUAGAUAUAACUGUUAUAAUUUAAAGCUUGCUCUAGACCUAAACUUGUGGGAUGAAAACUUGAUCUGAAGUUUAAGUUGUUAACAGAUACGAUAUGGAAAGGUUGAGCUGCUGUUUAUCUGUUCCUAGAGAUGCUAGAAUUCUGGAGAAUUUUAUCUUUGAAAAUCUUUAAAAUAUUGCAUGAUGAGUUCCUGUAUGAUGAGAGUUUAAAUUCCUACCACAGCCAUAUAUACAUGCUUGCUAGACUUUGAGCCACACAUUUACUUUUUACUGCUUAUGAGCAUUGAGUGUGGUCAAGCUGUGUAGACCCUUAGGAGCUUGUCAUGUGGUUAAAAUCAAGAUUCACUUGCACGAUUACUCAUACAUGCUACUUUUACUCCGGAAGUACCAUCCACAUAUAUCCACUCAUUUCCAUCUCCAAAACCACCCAAAAGUAUUCUACUCCUAUCCAGGAGAGAAUAGCCAAAAAUAUUUUCCUAUCCCUGUUAUUCCCUGUGAAAUAAAUACUCCAGUUAUUUUGGUUACUACCACUUGCUACAUUCUUUCAGGAGAUGAGUGCUCUAAAAAAAAGAGAAAGAGAAAAAGAAAGAAAAAAAUAAUAAUAAUACGAGGAAAUAAAAAGGGGCAAGUGCCCGGAACCUCAAAGAAAAAGAAAAAAAUGUGAGACGAGAGUUAAAAAUGGACAAGUGUCCGACAAUAGAAUUAGGGGUACAAGAUACCUACCUGAGAGGAAAGAAAAAAGAAAAUAUAGAGCAUCUCAUUCUCCCCAAAAAGCUUCAAAGUACAAGAAAGGUAUGUAUCCCCUCAUCACCAUACACCAUUCACUCGCCACACAUGCACAUCUUGAUUUGACUUGUUGACUUGUUUCUCUAGAUCCAUGGUUUGACUAUGCAAUAAAUGUCUUGUAAGUAUGUAUACUUUAUCUCCCACCUAUGAGCUCCAGAUAUUAAAGCCUUAUUAGAGUAGGGUGAGAGAGAAGGCAAUGUCACUAUGCCUUAUACCACAAAUACUACAUAUCUUGAGAGAAGGCAUAUACCAUCACUGCCUUGGUAAGGAUCCAAAAAUACCACAAAAGAGAGAUCUGAGAGAAUCAUACAAGGAAUCUCUUAGUUUUAUUUGAAAAUCUGCAAAAACUCUAGAGCUAUAGCUGAUCAAGAAUAAGAGACAUGGCACUUGGCUAGACUGUUCUAUCUUUUCACCACUCAUCACUGCCUUGGUAAGGAUCCAAAAAUACCACAAAAGAGAGAUCUGAGAGAAUCAUACAAGGAAUCUCUUAGUUUUAUUUGAAAAUCUGCAAAAACUCUAGAGCUAUAGCUGAUCAAGAAUAAGAGACAUGGCACUUGGCUAGACUGUUCUAUCUUUUCACCACUCAAGACAGAAGUGACAGUUACAAGUCCCAUGGUAAAGGUAAAGUAAGUAAGUUUUAAGUCUUGACAGUUUACUCUAACUCUGAGAUGAGAUCUUAUUUAAAAAGCAUGUGUACAUCAAUUUUUAAAAAUAUUGCAAUAAUUUAUGAUCCAUAGCUGAGUCUAUCCUUGCUCAGGGACGAGCAAGAGGUAAGCUUGGGGGAGUUUGUUGACGGUCCUUAAGUAUCAAAUUUAAUUAUCAAAUAAACAAAGAAAAGGAUCCAAAUGAAAUCAACAUCUAGACUUAGGGUUUUAUCUGACAGAAUUCCACGAGUUUUGGUGUUUGUCUAUUUCUGCAGGGGGUUAUCAGGAAAUAAGGAAGAAAGGCCCACGCGUCGGGAUUACAUAGAGAUAUCAACCCACCGCGCAAUUUUCUACUAUCUAGAAGACUCCAGAAGCCACGGGAAGGAAGCGGAGCCCGAAAGGGGCCAGGCCCAGGGCGCCCGCCACCCUCUGGACUCCGUUCCGGACUCUCUUCGCACACGAUGUUCCACCGACCUAUUGGAUCCAGAAUAACAUAGUACCACCUCGCCUAUCGACCCAAAAACGCAUAGAAGGGGAGGACUAUAUAAGGAGACCCCCUCUGGCCCCUGGAGGAGACAAGAAAUUAUCAUAGAGAUUGAGGGGUGCCCUCGAAGGAAAACCUCUUCUCUAAAUAAUAUUUCUUUUUAGGCUUAGCAACCAAUGUAAAGUAGAAAUAGAUGUUCUAGUUUCUACUAGAUUGAGAGAGAUAGAGUGGAG
rnacentral:lncRNA from 1 species